rnacentral:lncRNA from 1 species
AUAGCAAGUCUUUUCAAUUGCACAGUAUUGUGCAAUGGCAAGAAAUAUCUAAUUGCACAAUAUUGUGAAAUAGCAAAUUUUUUUUUAAUUAGAGUUAUUUUUCUUUGUCCAGAAUAGUAAGCAAGAAAUAUCCUAUUGCACAAUAUUGUGCAAUAGCAAGAAUUUUUUUUAAUUGGAGUUAUCUUUCUUUGUCCAGAAUCAACUUAAAUCUUUGUUAUAUACAAUAUAUACAAUGUAUAUACACUUUUUACUACCAACUGAUAAAUUUAAAUAAUCUUUACCAUUCAGUGAUAACAAGCAGUUUUUUUACAUCUUAAUAUUUUAUGAUGUAUUUGAAUGAGUAGUUAUUGUUGCAAACUCCAUUAGAAAUUUGAAUUGAUAUCAGUUUUGAAAAAGGGAAACGGGGAUGUGAAAAAAAGGGGGGGGGUUAAAUUUUUCUCAUUUCAGAUUUCAUAAAUAAAAAGAAAAUUUCUUCAAACAUUUUUUUGAGAGGAUUAAUAUUCAACAGCAUAGUGAAUUGCUCAAAGGCAAAAAAAAACCUUUUAAGUUCAUUAGACCACAUUCAUUCUGUAUCAGAAACCUAUGCUGUGUCAACUAUUUAACUUUAGAUUUAAAAAGUUUGAAGAAGAAAUCUUUAAUUGAUUUGUAAAAUCUUGGCAUUUGUUUUGUGUAAAAAAAAACCAUGUAAUGUCAAAAAUUUGAUCACAAUCCAAAUUCCGAGCUGUAUCAUGCUUGAAUGUUUUGUCCAUACUUGCCCCAACUGUUCAGGGUUCGACCUCUGCGGUCGUAUAAAGCUGCGCCCUGCGGAGCACCUGGUUAAGUUUAAGUUCUUAGACCACAUUAAUUUUGUGUCAGAAACCUAUGUUGUGUCAACUUUUUAAUCACAAUCCAAAUUCAGAGCUGUAUCAAGCUUAAAUGUUGUGUCCAUACUUGCCCCAACUGUUCAGGGUUCAACAUCUGCAGUCGUAUAAAGCUGCGCCCUGCAGAGCAUCUGGUUCUUGCUUUGAAGCACUUUGAAAAAGCUUUGUAUUACCCUUUAUUUAAGUUACCUCACUCAAAGAGACAUCCAGACUUUUGCUUUCAUUUUACAUAAAAUGCAGUAAAUGCAAUUAUUUGUAAUUUAUAGCACUAGAUCAUGUUUUAGGUCGAAACCAUACCUCUUAAUAUAUAAUUUGAAAUUAUUCAACUAUUUGAAACUAUUCUUCAAAUUUUUUCACCUAUAAUUUUAAUCACUAUAAUUUAUUUCAGACUCAAAUUGGCUGCUUCACAGAGCUAUUGGAGCUUUGAUUUAAAUUUUUAUUGAAAUUGCAGUUUGUCUAGUGAUCAUUUAUCACAUGAAUCAAAAUACUCACUGAGUAAUGAAGGUGUUUAAAAUUAUGUGAAACAGCAUGCAUUUAAUGUCAAAAGGUUAAAAAGUAAAAUGCUAAUUAUAUAUGAAAUGUAUUUGUUAAUAUUAAAACCUUUAUAUUGUAAAAAAUAUAUUUGAUCAUGAUUAGAAAAUUCAAUCCCAUUGUUAGUUAUUCUCUUUCUUUAAAAAAUAAGCAGACUAGGUUCAAAAAAUAAUACUGUGUUCCUGUAUUGUUUUGUUUCAUAUAGUCUUAUUUUGUUUAAAAAGACAAAUUUAGAGAAAACUUUAAUUUUAACAAACAUAUUUGCUGACACCUUACUUUUAUAUUAUAAGAAACAUUUUUAUUUACAUCAUGAGUUCCAAAUGAGUCUUCUUACCCCAUACAAUGAUAGUGUGAUUAUUAUAAGUUGAAUAGACUAUAAUAAAACAUAUGAUUUAUAUGAGAUUUUGACAACUGGUAUGUGAUGUCAGCAUAGACCUUUAGUGAAGUUCAUUGGUUUUCUCUAAAUUUGUUUAUAAAACAAAAACACAUGAGAAGCAAAACAAUACCUUUAAACUUUAACGGUUCAGGUGUUUUUUGUUCAUCAUAAGCUAUGCAUUGUUUGUAACCUUAAAUUAUCCCGAAAGAUUUGUUUUCUGUAAUAAUAUUUACAAUUUGUCAUUUUGUAACACUUUGUUUAAACUUUCAAACAUUAUUUUAUCUGCAUCAUAUAUCAUAAAAAAUUGCAGAUACCUUUUUAUAAGGUUACCAGAUGACAUGCAUGCACAUAUUGAGAUAUUGUUCAUAUGUGUUGCAAAAUAAUUUCUGACAGAAACAUUAUGUUGAAGAUUAGUCAAAGAUUUGAAGUAUACAACAUGUACAUUUUGAUUGAAUGUCAGUUUUUAUUUAAAUGCUGAUUGCUUUAUACAUUCCCUAGAUUUGCCCAACAUCACAAAAAUGGUUUUAAUUUGUAAGACUAUGGAACUUUCAUCAUUUUGAUUAGACACAUUUUACGGGAGUAUUGGGACUUUGACUUAUAUUUUAAACUUUUGUUACAAAAUGACACCCUAUGAGGGCACCACCCUUUGAGGCAUUUGACACUUUCAUAGUCGGUAAAAUUGUUUGUUAUAAUGUGUAAUUGACCAUACUUUACAGUCAUUUUGAUUUUGAAAGUGUUUGCUAGAGUUAUAUUCAUGCUCACAGCUUUUGACUACUAAUCUUCUGAAAACAUAUUAUUAGGCAUUACAUGAAAUAGUAUUGAUAAUUAUAUGAAAGCUAGAUGAAACAUGAAGUUAAAUAUAUUUGAUUAAUAUUAUUCCAAAAACAAAUUUCAGUGGAACAUGGCUGCAUCAGUUUGAGCUGUGAUUUCUUUAAGGCAAGUUGAUGUUUACCUUAUUUUUUUGUUACUUAGUAUUACAUGCUAGCCAAAUUUGCUUAUAACAAAUUACUUGAAAUAAUUAAAGAACUAGCACUAAAAAAUCACUGCUUAGUUUAAUAAAUAAUAUACAAAAGGGUACAAGUACUUAUAAAAGAGGGGCGAAAUAUACUAGAGGGACAGUCAAACUCAAAGAUCAAAAAUAUACUGUCAACGCCUUGGCUAAAAAGAAAAAGACUGAGUAACACGAACCCCACCAAAAAUUGGGGUGAUCUCAGGUGCUCCGCAAGGGAUAGCAGAUCCUGCAUCACAUGGGCAAUUGCAUGCUUGUCAAUCUCAUAUGACAAAGUAUAAGGUCAUGAACAAACAUGUAAAGGCAAGGUUGUACAGUUGUACAAGUCAUUAUUUAAAUUCUAUGCAUAUUAUUAGGUAUUAGGAGAUUUUUUCUGAAUAUAAUUGAUUAUUAAAUCAAUUUUAUGACAUUUUGAUAUUUGUAGUUAGAGAAAAGGAAUUAAGGUUUGAUCAGUGAAAAUUAUAUAUUUUGUCAGGAUGUUGUAAUGGGUUUCUUCAAGAUAUACAGUUUUAAAAAUUGAAAGUGACAUGAUGAAUUGUCAGUUUGUUUGUUAUGUAAAAUGUCUGCUUACUGAGUGUUGUGUUCAGAUUUCAUCGUAAGUUUAAAACUAAGUAGUGCUAGCAUUGCAUUCUUAAAUGAUAUUUAUCAUUACUGGAGUAUUAUACUGAAGAAUAAUAUGUUUAAGAUGAUUGAUAUCAUAACUGUUUUACAUAUUUAUCAAAUACUGUGAUAAUUUGUUCAGUAUAAUAAGAUCAUACAUUUUGAGAGAAGGUUAUGAAUGAAAUAAAAUUGAGGCUUAUCUUAUAGUUGUUAUUAUUUAAAUGCUGAUUUAUAUUUAUAAUUUGAUG